CUCCAGGACAAGAGACGUCAAUGAGGCGACAGAAGCCAGAGGAAGCAGGGCUCCAGCUCCCUCUCACAGCUCAUUCUCUUCCCUUCCCCAGGAAUGCCAAGGCCUGAGGAACUUUUUCUCACUCCAUGUGAUCCUCUGGGCUCUGCAGGGCCCCUCCAUUCAGCAUUUAAAAGAGACAUGGAGAUGGGUGUCCAGGAAGAACUGGACAAAACUUAAAAAGUUGAUGAAAACUAGCCAGCGGGAGAGCAGGAAGCUGCUCAAGGAGGUGAGUGGAGGCUGGAGAUCUGGAAGGAGGGGAGGACGUGACCUCUGUGUGGGCCACCUUAGAGAUGGAUCCCCAGGGAGCCCAGGAGAGACAGCAGCAGCAGGGUGUCGUCCCCUUCCUGGGCACGUUCCUCUAUCACCUGAAGCUGCUGGACAUUGGGAUGGAGGAUGAUCUGGAAGUGAGUGAGCCUGGAGGUGGGGCCAGGGAGAAGUAUCCUGAGGUUUGGGAGGCGAUAGCCCUGCACUGGGCCCUGAGCUCUCAGUACCUGGCAAACCUUCUCUCAUGAGAGCCCCAUGGCCACCCCUGGGAGCUGGAGAGUCAGGCCCAUCUUAGCAAUGCAUGAAUAGACGUCCCACGUAAGCCCCCCACCAGGCUCCCUGGGCUGGUGAAGCUCAGAGCUGCCUGUCUGCAGAGCUGCAGGAGGCUGUGUCUGAGCUGCACUCAGCCUCCCCCUCAGGUCCUGCCCCUGGGGGAGUGCCAUCAGCCCCUGCAAGUGAGGAAGAACUUCUGUGGUCCAGCUGUCCCUUCCUCCCUGAGGCCCCAGUCUCCCCAUCUGUCAUCAGAGAGGGUGUGCUACAUAAGGUCUCUGGCCUCAGCUCCCCUGUCCCUCCUGCUCUGGAGCCCAGAGCCUGGCCCAGUGUCAAGUUCUCUUUGUGGAAGGUCUGCCCUCUGCUGGGCCCUGACGUUCCUGCAGCCUGAGAAGGGGUG